AUUGAACGCUGGCGGCAGGCCUAACACAUGCAAGUCGAGCGGAUGACGGGAGCUUGCUCCUUGAUUCAGCGGCGGACGGGUGAGUAAUGCCUAGGAAUCUGCCUGGUAGUGGGGGACAACGUUUCGAAAGGAACGCUAAUACCGCAUACGUACUACGGUAAAAAGCAGGGGACCUUCGGGCCAUGCGCUAUCAGAUGAGCCUAGGUCGGAGUUGCUAGUAGGUGAGGUAAUGGCUCACCUAGACGACGAUCCGUAACUGGUCUAAGAGGAUGAUCAGUCACACUGGAACUGAGACACGGUCCAUACUCCUACGGGAGGCAGCAGUGGGGAAUAUUGGACAAUGGGCGAAAGCCUGAUCCAGCCAUGCCGCGUGUGUGAAGAAGGUCUUCGGAUUGUAAAGCACUUUAAGUUGGGAGGAAGGGCAGUAAGUUAAUACCUUGCUGUUUUGACGUUACCGACAGAAUAAGCACCGGCUAACUCUGUGCCAGCAGCCGCAGUAACAC
rnacentral:rRNA from 1 species